CUUAUGCUAAAACUAAAAAAAAACAAUAACAAAAAAUAAAAAUAAAAUUCAUAAGCAAAAACAAGACUAAAACCCAGCCAGUGCAUAGUAUAGCAUAGCAAACGCUUUUGUGUGUGGUUAGAGUGCAAGCGGCCGCAACAAAAAGUCAGUGUUAAUGUGUGUGUUUUUCGAGCGAUGCAACUGAUUGUUGACAAAAUUCCCAUGUUUUCGAAACAAACAACGAAACGUAAUUCCAAAAACUUACAAAAGCCGAUCGCUCGCAGAAAAAGCGUUCAACAGCCUUCUUGGCGCUCGUGUCCUUACAGUUUCGGCAGAACCUGCAGAAGACAGCCGUGAGUUUGUAGACAUUUUCAUUGCUCAUUCCCAACAUAGCUCUGGUUUCUUAGCGGGUCGUAGGUAUUUCAACUCAAGAGAUUAUAAUGAACGAACUAGAGGAGCAAGAGACGAGCACCAGAAGGAGAGCGAAUCACUUGAGCCUUGGGAGAGUACUUCCGGUACUGGAACAGAUGAAGUUUACACUCAAGGUGCUUCACGUCUUUGUAAAGGCAGCCUCGGCUACCUCGGAAAAUAAAUGAAAAUGUGUCCAAGCAAAAUGAAAAUGAAAUCAGCCAACAGAAUAAGAUCAGCAGAUCAGAGCAACAAGCACACCUAACCCAAAGUCUGAAACGGAGCUGGAAACUUUGCCAUAUAUGGAACAAAUGGAAGAGCCUCAACGAAAGGCGAUAAAGUUAUUUACCCAAAAGUGACGUUGUAAAUAACAAAAGUCUUGAAAGUUGUUCUACGCUCAGCCCUUCCUACCUAGCGCUAAACGAAAAACCACGGAGAGAGUCUCAAAACAAUCAAAGUUCAGAAAACAAGACGACAAGACACAGUUAUGAAACAAGAUUAGCCAAUCGAGACUCAUCUAAGCAGCACGCACAAGAUUAUAGGGUUAAAUGGGAUUUUCGUUUAGAAAUCAGAGCGUCAGAAGUAGUACUACCGAGGAAUAAAGAAGCUAAUCAAUACAAGCAAAGAGUUAAUCGAUCAUCAAAUGACGCUACGAAACAAGCGUUGUACGAAGCUAAGACCAAAAAGUCAGUAAUUGAAGAAGCCAAAUAUAGACAACAGUUGAUACCGGACAUGCGCAUUUAAGCCCACUACGAACACUGUUUGUGUGGCGACACGGACAAUAAACGAUCACAAGAACUCCAAAUGAAAGCAUCUCCGAAAAGACUGGACCGAAUAUCGAAAAAUAAGGCACAAGAAAAUUAUCUAAGCGGCCCAACAUCAACAAAACGGUAUCAGCAAUAUAACAAAAAAUUAAGAGUGAUAGCGUUUUAAAAAAUACGCUACCAGAUAAGAGUAUUUUAGAAAGUACUAAGCGGCCAAGUAGAUUAAGUAAUAGUCGACGAUUAAAAAGCGGCUAUCACAAACUGGAGAAUAAAGCGAACUUCAAGAACAACGAUCUAUACAACUCUCGGAAACAAUAUUAUCGCGCAUAGCCGAACAGCGUAAACAACAAUAUGACCAAAGUGGAAAAGUUGCAGGACUUGGAAGAGAGACGUCCUCUAGAAGCACAUUGCGGCCGAGACAAAAACCACAACUGGGAAGGCUACAAGCUUCUAAAGAAAAUUAGUUUCUCGGAAACAAAGUAUCUGAGAGAGAAUAUAGCAAGAUGCGGUACAAAGGAAUAGCGCAACACUGGAACAAUCGGAGUUAGGAAGCAGACGUUCGACUAGACUGGACAAACUGUUUGAAAAUAUUAUUUUAGAUAGUAUGACGGCAAAUAGAGCCAGGUGAGCUAAAAAGUCAAACGCCAUCUAAGGAUGACCAACGAUUUGGGAAAUUUUAAAAGGUGCGCGAGGGGGAAAAUGUAGCAACAACAGAAAUUGUGUUGCAAUAAAAAGAACAAAAGUGAUUUAGCACUUUGAGGGCCAUCAGGUCAUGAACAAACGUUUAAAUAUAUAAUCUUAGAAAUAAUACUUGAUAAGCCAAAAAAUUCCAUUCAAACAUCAACGGUCGGAGCAAAAACAUGAUGAUCAACAAGUGAGAGACAAUAUGGCGCCAUCAAACAAAGUAGGAGAGAACUUAAAGAGUCAAGUAAUGCAAAUAAGAAAACUAAGUAGAAUGCUGAAUAUCGCUCGAUCAGCUAAAUGAGCAACGAAAGAGCAAAGGGAUGAGCCAGUAAAUAAAGUUUCAGAAAAGUCAGCAUUGGAACA